rnacentral:rRNA from 1 species
GUCGAGCGGACAGAUGGGAGCUUGCUCCCUGAUGUUAGCGGCGGACGGGUGAGUAACACGUGGGUAACCUGCCUGUAAGACUGGGAUAACUCCGGGAAACCGGGGCUAAUACCGGAUGGUUGUUUGAACCGCAUGGUUCAAACAUAAAAGGUGGCUUCGGCUACCACUUACAGAUGGACCCGCGGCGCAUUAGCUAGUUGGUGAGGUAA